rnacentral:lncRNA from 1 species
AAAAAAUAAAUAAGAAUAAAAAAUAUAAAAUAAAUAAUUUAUUUUGAAUUCGUUUUGAUCUGUCAAAUAAAUAGAGCGAAAGACGAGAGAUCAUUUUCUUCCUUCAAUCAAUUAUGAUUCAUUAAAAAUUUGCUAAAAAUUUACUCCCGUCUCAAUCCGUCCUGAAUAAGCGAUAAAUAAAAGUCAAAAAUAAAAUAAUAAAUAAUUUGUUUUGAAUUUGUUCUGUUUCAAUAAAAAUUAACACAGAAGUUCGAGAACCCUCCCG